rnacentral:rRNA from 1 species
GACGAACGCUGGCGGCGCGCCUAACACAUGCAAGUCGAACGAGCGAGCGAUAGCUUUCUUUCUUGAGCGAGUGGCGAACGGGUGAGUAACGCGUGAGUAACCUGCCCCACAGAGUGGGACAACAUUUGGAAACGACUGCUAAUACCGCAUAAGCCCACGGUGCCGCUUGGCACAGAGGGAAAAUGAGCAGUCCGCGAUGAGAUGGCGCCGCUUCCGAUUUGCUGGUUGGGGUGGUUACGGCCCACCAAGGCGACGGUUGGUAGCCGGGAGGAGAGGUUGACACGAGACAUUGGGACUAAGACACAGACCAGAAUGCUAGGGGAGGGAGGAGAGGGGAAUAUAGCACAAUGGGGGAAGACGUGAUGGAGCGACGCCGGGUAGGGGAAGAAGGUGGUCGGAAAGUGAACUCGUGUUGUAGGGGGAGAUAAUGACGGUACCCAACAAAGAAGCGACGGCUAACUACGUG